rnacentral:rRNA from 1 species
AACGAACGCUGGCGGCAGGCCUAACACAUGCAAGUCGAGCGAGGACUUCGGUCCUAGCGGCGGACGGGUGAGUAACGCGUGGGAACGUGCCCUUUGCUUCGGAAUAGCCCUGGGAAACUGGGAGUAAUACCGGAUGAGCCCUUUGGGGGAAAGAUUUAUCGGCGAAGGAUCGGCCCGCGUUGGAUUAGGUAGUUGGUGGGGUAAUGGCCUACCAAGCCGACGAUCCAUAGCUGGUUUGAGAGGAUGAUCAGCCACACUGAGACUGAGACACGGCCCAGACUCCUACGGGAAGCAGCAGUGGGGAAUCUUAGACAAUGGGGGAAACCCUGAUCUAGCCAUGCCGCGUGAGCGAUGAAGGCCUUAGGGUUGUAAAGCUCUUUCAGCUGGGAAGAUAAUGACGGUACCAGCAGAAGAAGCCCCGGCUAACUCCGUG